rnacentral:rRNA from 1 species
AGUGAACGCUGGCGGUAGGCCUAACACAUGCAAGUCGAACGGCAGCACAGUAAGAGCUUGCUCUUACGGGUGGCGAGUGGCGGACGGGUGAGGAAUACAUCGGAAUCUACUUUUUCGUGGGGGAUAACGUAGGGAAACUUACGCUAAUACCGCAUACGACCUACGGUUGAAAUCAGGGGAUCUUCGGACCUUGCGCGAUUGAAUGAGCCGAUGUGGGAUUAGCUAGUUGGGGGGGUAAAGGCCCACCACGGCGACGAUCCGUAGCUGGUCUCAGAGGAUGAUCAGCCACACUGGAACUGAGACACGGUCCAGACUCCUACGGGAGGCAGCAGUGGGGAAUAUUGGACAAUGGGCGAAAGCCUAAUCCAGCCAUACCGCGUAGGUGAAGAAGGCCUUCGGGUUGUAAAGCCCUUUUGUUGGGAAAGAAAAGCAGCAGGUUAAUACCCCGCUGUUCUGACGGUACCCAAAGAAUAAGCACCGGCUAACUUCGUG